AAGGGACCUAGCGUAGUUCGGAAUUACUGGGCUUAGAGAGUUCGUAGGUGGUUGAAAAAGUUGGUGGUGAAAUCCCAGAGCUUAACUCUGGAACUGCCAUCAAAACUUUUCAGCUAGAGUAUGAUAGAGGAAAGCAGAAUUUCUAGUGUAGAGGUGAAAUUCGUAGAUAUUAGAAAGAAUACCAAUUGCGAAGGCAGCUUUCUGGAUCAUUACUGACACUGAGGAACGAAAGCAUGGGUAGCGAAGAGGAUUAGAUACCCUCGUAGUCCAUGCCGUAAACGAUGUGUGUUAGACGUUGGAAAUUUAUUUUCAGUGUCGCAGGGAAACCGAUAAACACACCGCCUGGGGAGUACGACCGCAAGGUUAAAACUCAAAUGAAUUGACGGGGACCCGCACAAGUAGUGGAGCAUGUGGUUUAAUUCGAAGAUACGCGCAGAACCUUACCAACACUUGACAUGUUCGUCGCGACUCUAAGAGAUUAGAGUUUUCGGUUCGGCCGGACGAAACACAGGUGCUGCAUGGCUGUCGUCAGCUCGUGUCGUGAGAUGUUGGGUUAAGUCCCGCAACGAGCGCAACCCUCACUUUUAGUUGCCAUCAUUAAGUUGGGCACUCUGAAAGAACUGCCAGUGAUAAGCUGGAGGAAGGUGGGGAUGACGUCAAGUCCUCAUGGCCCUUACGUGUUGGGCUACACACGUGCUACAAUGGCAUCUACAACAGGAAGCAAAACGGCAACGUUAAGCAAAUCCCGAAAAGAUGCCUCAGUUCGGAUUGCACUCUGCAACUCGAGUGCAUGAAGCUGGAAUUACUAGUAAUCGUGGAUCAGCGUGCCACGGUGAAUGCGUUCCCGGGUCUUGUACACACCGCCCGUCACACCAUGGGAGUUGGUUCUACCUUAAGGCAAGGCUUUAAACCCUUGACCACGGUAUAGUCAGCGACUGGGGUGAAGUCGUAACAAGGUAGCCGUAGGGGAACCUGCGGCUGGACUACCUCCUUUCUAAGGAUGAGUGAAAGUAAAAUUUCACUCUAAAUAAUAUACAUCGGUAAUGUUGACCGUCCUCAUUUCUCUUCUUAAGGUAAUGUUUCCUUCUUGUAGGGCCGGUAGCUCAGUUGGUUAGAGCACACCCUUGAUAAGGGUGGGGUCGAAAGUUCGAGUCUUUCUCGGCCCACCAAAAACCUAAAUGGGGGAUUAGCUCAUCUGGGAGAGCGCCUGAUUUGCAUUCAGGAGGUAGCAGGUUCGAUCCCUGUAUCCUCCACCAGGAAACAUUUAGUUAUUAAAACUGUAAAUAAAAAUAAUUUAUAUCAAUAUCUAUAUCCGAACAUUAAAUUUUAUUAUUUAAUGUUCAAAAUAAAAAUUUGAUCACAACAUAGAUAAAUUUUUCUGUUAAAAGAAUUUUUUCUGUGCAUAAAUCAAGCGUUUAAGGGCGUGUAGUGGAUGCCUUGGCACUGAAAGCCGAUGAAGGACGUGAUAUACUGCGAUAAGUUUCGGGGAGCUGUAUGUAAGCUUUGAUCCGAAAAUUU
rnacentral:sRNA from 1 species